UUAAAAUUGACAAGUGAUAGAAUUGCUAUUAUUUGAGGUUGGAGAUCUAUUUUUCAGUAUUCCAGCAUGUUUAUAAAAUAUCUUCUAAGUAAGGAAGUCUGUCUUUGGUGUUAAAGGUACUUGUUAUGAAUGAAUGAGCUUGGUGAUUGUAUACAGAAUAUUUAUUUAAAGUGGAGUCAUGCUGACAGGUUGAUGAUUAUAGAAAGGAAAACAAGCUGAGGACAGGAGCAUAUGAUGCAGUGGGGCAGUUAGAACUUGGGAAAAUAUGCUUGAUAUAUGCACUCUUGUUGAGCAUCCUAUUGACGGCUGUUAAACUUAGGAACUACAUUUCCCACAAACCAUUUCGAUUGUAAUUCUUAUUUAGAAGCAAUAAGUUGGUUCCGCGAGAUUUCUCCGUUCCUUAAGACUGCAGGGCUCAUCAAAGCUACCAAACUUCAUUUCCCAAAACGCACACCAUGCAGGUUUAGCGUUAUAAGGCGGCCAAUGAAGCUCCGCGAGAUCUCGGAGGCGGAAGUGCAGUAGAAGCCAUUACUCUAAGGAAGUGGUUGCAGUAAGACACACGUGCGAAAGAGUGUUUCAGGCUUUCUCCCUGUAUGUGCCCGGAUCCUUUUGUUCACUGGGGCGUUAGGGACCUAUUAUGUGAACUUCGCGUCCUUUCGCUCUAGCUGAGGAGACUUCCGCUUCCCGGAUUCCACCCUGAGUCCGACAAGAUUGGGAUCCAGUCUGAGAUCAACAUUCUGCAACGUCGCCUAUGGCUGCUGGAGGCACUGGUUCCUGGGAGAAGGAAGGGAAGCAAGUAUGCAACUGGCCAUGGAGGUUUUCUGUGCCAGGGUACCAGUUGGAAUACUGGAAGAUCCUUCACAGAGGCCACAGGUGCAUGUUGUUAACCCAUUAUCAGACAGCUUAUGGGUCAAGAGGAAAUGACAAGAAACAAAUUUCAGAGUUCUCCUCACUAAAUAAGAGAGACAGCCUUUGA
rnacentral:lncRNA from 1 species